rnacentral:misc_RNA from 1 species
AAGGAUCAUUAUUGAAAUAAACCUGAUGGGUUGCUGCUGGUUCUCUAGGGAGCAUGUGCACACUUGUCAUCUUUAUAUCUCCACCUGUGCACCUUUUGUAGACCUGGAUAUCUUUCUGAAUGCCCUAGCAUUCAGGUUUGAGGAUUGACUCUCUGUCUUUCCUUGCAUUUUCAGGCCUAUGUUUCUUCAUAUACCCCAAUGUAUGUUAUAGAAUGUAUUAAAUGGGCCUUUGUGCCUAUAAACCUAUACAACUUUCAGCAACGGAUCUCUUGGCUCUC